rfam:Nomascus leucogenys chromosome 20, whole genome shotgun sequence.
CUCUACGGCCAUAUCACCCUGAAUACACCCAUCUCAUCUGAUCUUGGAAGCUAAGUAGGGUUGGGCCUAGUUAGUACUUGGAUGGGAGAAAAUAAGUUUAAAAU